rnacentral:rRNA from 1 species
GACGAACGCUGGCGGCGUGCCUAAUACAUGCAAGUAGAACGCUGAAGGAGGAGCUUGCUUCUCUGGAUGAGUUGCGAACGGGUGAGUAACACGUAGGUAACCUGCCUGGUAGCGGGGGAUAACUAUUGGAAACGAUAGCUAAUACCGCAUAGUAGUAGAUGUUGCAUGACAUUUGCUGAAAAGGUGCAAUUGCAUCACUACCACAUGGACCUGCGUUGUAUUAGGGAGGGGGUGGGGUAAAGGCUCACCUAGGCGGCGAUACGGAGCCGACCGGAGAGGGGGAUCAGCCACACUGGGAGGGAGACACGGCACAGACGGAUACGGGAGGGAGCAGUAGGGAAUCGUGGGCAAUGGACGGAAAACUGACCGCGAAGGGCGGCGUGAGGGAGGAAGAUCUUCGGAUCGGAAAGCUCGGUUGUAAGAGAAGAACCAGUGUGCGAGUGGAAAGUUCACACUGUGACGGUAUCUUACCAGAAAGGGACGGCUAACUACGUG